rnacentral:misc_RNA from 1 species
AAGUCGUAACAAGGUUUCCGUAGGUGAACCUGCGGAAGGAUCAUUACUGAAUAAACUUGGUGGGUUGUUGCUGGUUCUUUACUGGAGCAAUUGUGCACGCCCAUCAUUUUUAUCUUUCCACCAUGUGCACCCUAUGUAGGUCCGAGAGAUGUUUAAGGCCUAAUCGUAGAUUUCUUCGAUUAUUGGAGAGCUUGCUGGUUUGUUUACAAACCGGCUCUUUCUGCAAUGGCGCUAUCUCUCUUGGAUACUACGAUUUUCUUAUAUACACCUAUGCAUGUCACAGAACGAUAUUAGUAGGCCCCCAAAGCCUAUAAACCAUUAAUACAACUUUCAGCAACGGAUCUCUUGGCUCUC